UCAAGUAAUGAAGUGCACAUGGUGGAUGCCUUGGCAGUCAGAGGCGAUGAAAGACGUGAUAGCCUGCGAUAAGCGUCGGUGAGGUGGCAAUAUCCUGCGACCCGGCGAUUUCUGAAUGGGGAAACCCAACCAACAUAAGUUGGUUAUUACAUAGUUUACUGUGUAAGGCAAACCGGGAGAAGUGAAACAUCUCAGUACCCCGAGGAAAAGACAUCAAUUGAGAUUCCCCAAGUAGCGGCGAGCGAACGGGGAGGAGCCGAUCGAAUUUACAGUAGCAAAAUGGCGUGGGAAAGCCAACCAUAGUAGGUGAUAGUCCUGUAUGCGAAACUGUUUAUGAGACAUAUUAAGUAGGGCGAGACACGUGAAAUCUUGUCUGAAGAUGGGGGGACCAUCCUCCAAGGCUAAAUACUCCUGACUGACCGAUAGUGAACCAGUACCGUGAGGGAAAGGCGAAAAGAACCCCUGUUAGGGGAGUGAAAUAGAACCUGAAACCGUGUGCAUACAAGCAGUCGGAGCGGACUUGUUCCGUGACGGCGUACCUUUUGUAUAAUGGGUCAGCGACUUAUAUUCUGUAGCAAGGUUAACCGUUUAGGGGAGCCGUAGGGAAACCGAGUCUUAAUAGGGCGAUUAAGUUGCAGGGUAUAGACCCGAAACCGAGUGAUCUAUCCAUGAGCAGGUUGAAAGUGCCGUAACAGGCACCGGAGGACCGAACCCACUGUCGUUGAAAAGCCAGGGGAUGACUUGUGGAUAGGGGUGAAAGGCUAAUCAAACUCGGUGAUAGCUGGUUCUCCCCGAAAGCUAUUUAGGUAGCGCCUCGGACGAAUACCAUUGGGGGUAGAGCACUGUUUCGGCUAGGGGGUCAUCCCGACUUACCAAACCGAUGCAAACUCCGAAUACCGAUGAGUAAUAUCCGGGAGACAGACGGCGGGUGCUAACGUCCGUCGUCAAGAGGGAAACAACCCAGACCGCCAGCUAAGGCCCCAAAUUCCUAGUUAAGUGGGAAACGAUGUGGGAAGGCACAGACAGCUAGGAGGUUGGCUUAGAAGCAGCCACCCUUUAAAGAAAGCGUAAUAGCUCACUAGUCGAGUCGGCCUGCGCGGAAGAUGUAACGGGGCUCAAACUAGGAGCCGAAGCUGCGGAUUUAAUUGUUUCAAUUAAGUGGUAGGGGAGCGUUGUGUAAGCCUGUGAAGGUGUAUCGUAAGGUAUGCUGGAGGUAUCACAAGAGCGAAUGCUGACGUGAGUAACGACAAAACGGGUGAAAAGCCCGUUCGCCGGAAGACCAAGGGUUCCAGUCCAACGUUAAUCGGGGCUGGGUGAGUCGACCCCUAAGGCGAGGCCGAAAGGCGUAGUCGAUGGGAAAUCGGUUAAUAUUCCGAUACUUGUUUAUGAUGCGAUGGAGGGACGGAGAAGGUUAUGUCAGCCUGGCGUUGGUUGUCCAGGUGGAAGGAUGUAGUUAGGUUUAGUAGGCAAAUCCGCUAGACUAUUAAUGAGAUCUGAUAGCAAGCCAGUUUACUGGCGAAGUGGCAAAUACCCUGCUUCCAGGAAAAGCUUCUAAGCGAUAGUCAUAAAGAAAUCGUACCCGAAACCGACACAGGUGGUCAGGUAGAGAAUACCAAGGCGCUUGAGAGAACUCUGCUGAAGGAACUAGGCAAAAUGGUACCGUAACUUCGGGAGAAGGUACGCUGCCGAUGGUGAUGGAACUUGCUUCCUGAGCUGUUGGCAGUCGCAGAUACCAGGCUGCUGCAACUGUUUAUUAAAAACACAGCACUCUGCAAACACGAAAGUGGACGUAUAGGGUGUGAUGCCUGCCCGGUGCUGGAAGGUUAAUUGAUGGGGUUAGCGUAAGCGAAGCUCUUGAUCGAAGCCCCAGUAAACGGCGGCCGUAACUAUAACGGUCCUAAGGUAGCGAAAUUCCUUGUCGGGUAAGUUCCGACCUGCACGAAUGGCAUAAUGAUGGCAGCGCUGUCUCCAGCAGAGACUCAGUGAAAUCGAAAUCGCAGUGAAGAUGCUGUGUACCCGCGGCUAGACGGAAAGACCCCGUGAACCUUUACUACAGCUUUACAUUGAACUUUGACCUAACUUGUGUAGGAUAGGUGGGAGGCUUUGAAGUAGGGACGCCAGUUCCUAUGGAGCCAACCUUGAAAUACCACCCUGGUUAUGUUGGGGUUCUAACUUAGAUAUAACAGUAUCAAGGACAAUGUAUGGUGGGUAGUUUGACUGGGGCGGUCUCCUCCUAAAGAGUAACGGAGGAGUACGAAGGUGCGCUCAGAACGGUCGGAAAUCGUUCAAAGAGUAUAAAGGCAAAAGCGCGCUUAACUGCGAGACCCACAAGUCGAGCAGGUACGAAAGUAGGUCUUAGUGAUCCGGUGGUUCUGUAUGGAAGGGCCAUCGCUCAACGGAUAAAAGGUACUCUGGGGAUAACAGGCUGAUACCGCCCAAGAGUUCAUAUCGACGGCGGUGUUUGGCACCUCGAUGUCGGCUCAUCUCAUCCUGGGGCUGAAGCAGGUCCCAAGGGUAUGGCUGUUCGCCAUUUAAAGAGGUACGCGAGCUGGGUUUAGAACGUCGUGAGACAGUUCGGUCCCUAUCUACCGUGGGCGUUGGAAAUUUGAGAGGAUCUGCUCCUAGUACGAGAGGACCAGAGUGGACGAACCUCUGGUGUUCCGGUUGUUUCGCCAGAAGCAUCGCCGGGUAGCUACGUUCGGAUGGGAUAACCGCUGAAAGCAUCUAAGCGGGAAGCCCACCUCAAGAUAAGAUUUCCCUAAAGAGCCGUUGUAGACUACGACGUUGAUAGGUUGGGUGUAAAAGCAUAGCGAUGUGUGUAGCUAACCAAUACUAAUUGCUCGUUUGGCUUGACCAU
rnacentral:rRNA from 1 species